ensembl:lncRNA TCF7L1-IT1 TCF7L1 intronic transcript 1
GGCAGCCAUGGUAGCCAUAGAGCAUAUGGGCCCACACUGCUUGCAUUUAAAUUUUCACUCCUGUUGUUUCCAUGAUGAGCAUUCCUCAGGUUCUAUGCCAUAAAUUUAUAAUUUGGGAAAUAUGGUCACCAUUACCAUAUGGCUCCCAUUGUGUCUUCUAAUUUAGCAAAGAUGAUAAAUUUGUUUCCUGAAAAUUUUAGGGUUAAAAGCAUUCAAUUGGAUUUGAUUCGUUGGGAGUUGGUGAUGUGCCUGAUGUAUCUGUAACAGGAAUAUCCCAUUCUUCAACCAUGCUGCACACAGAGUUAGGAGUCCCAAAGAAGGCAUUUGCCUGAAUAAUUCCAUAAAACGUGUAUGUAAAAGAAGUCAUAAACGGAGGAAGGAAAAUACUAGAUCCUCCUCUCAGCUGUCAGCUAAAGAAGACCUGAUACUCUGAUUCACCCCAAGAUUCAAAGCUCUCA